rnacentral:rRNA from 1 species
AUGGAACAACUUAAGUGUGUGUCCAGGAGUUUAGACAAGUGGAGCAGGGAAGUGUUGGGUGACCUGCAGAAGAGGAUAAAAAAGCUAAGGGCUGAACUCGAGGAGAGCCGUACAGCAGACCUAUCAGAAGCGGCAGUGAGAAAAGAACAAGUAUUGCGUUUCAAGCUCGGUCGUCUUGAGGAACAACUUGAUGUGUUUUGGAAACAGAGGGCUCAUGUGGGCUGGCUGUCGAAAGGAGAUCGAAAUACGGAGUACUUUCAUGGUUUUGCCUCGACACGGAAGAGAGCCAACCGAAUCACAAAGCUAAGAGGAGAUGAUGGGGUGGAGGUAGAAGAGGAGGAGGGUUUGAAGGCCCUCAUUUCUAAUCAUUUCUUUGGCUUGUUUACCCCCAUGGCAGGUACAAACAUUGAAGAAGUUCUUCAACAUGUUCAACUGCGAGUCACACCCAAAAUGAACACUUUUCUCCGGAAUUAA